AACGCGAAGAACCUUACCUGGACUAGACAACGGCGGACAACUUAUGAAAGUAGGUCUUCCCUUCGGGGACUGCCGGUUCAGGUGGUGCAUGGUUGUCGUCAGCUCGUGUCGUGAGAUGUUGGGUUAAGUCCCGCAACGAGCGCAACCCUCGUUCCAUGUUGCCAGCAGGCCUUCGGGUGCUGGGGACUCAUGGGAGACUGCCGGGGUCAACUCGGAGGAAGGUGGGGAUGACGUCAAAUCAUCAUGCCCCUUAUGUCCAGGGCUGCACACAUGCUACAAUGGCCGGUACAGAGGGCUGCGAUACCGCGAGGUGGAGCGAAUCCCAAAAAGCCGGUCUCAGUUCGGAUCGGGGUCUGCAACUCGACCCCGUGAAGUCGGAGUCGCUAGUAAUCGCAGAUCAGCAACGCUGCGGUGAAUACGUUCCCGGGCCUUGUACACACCGUAGAGAC
rnacentral:rRNA from 1 species